rnacentral:rRNA from 1 species
CGUAGGUGGUAGUGAAAGUCUAUGGUGGAAUCUUAGGGCUUAACCCUAAAAACUGCCUUGGAAACUUCAUUACUUGAGUCAGUGAGGGGAGGGUAGAAUUCCUGGUGUAGCGGUGAAAUGCGUAGAUAUCAGGAGGAAGGCCGGUGGCGAAGGCGGCCCUCUGGCGCUGAACUGACGCUGAGGCGCGAAAGCGUGGGUAGCAAACAGGAUUAGAUACCCUGGUAGUCCACGCCCUAAACGGUGGGUACUAGGUGUAGGGCUCGUAAGGGUUCUGUGCCGAAGGGAAACCAUUAAGUACCCCGCCUGGGGAGUACGGCCGCAAGGUUGAA